AUUUUGGACAAUGGGCGAAAGCCUGAUCCAGCCAUGCCGCGUGCAGGAUGAAGGCCUUCGGGUUGUAAACUGCUUUUGUACGGAACGAAAAGGUCCGCCCUAAUACGGCGGGCUCAUGACGGUACCGUAAGAAUAAGCACCGGCUAACUACGUGCCAGCAGCCGCGGUAAUACGUAGGGUGCAAGCGUUAAUCGGAAUUACUGGGCGUAAAGCGUGCGCAGGCGGUUAUGUAAGACAGAUGUGAAAUCCCCGGGCUCAACCUGGGAACUGCAUUAGUGACUGCAUAGCUGGAGUACGGCAGAGGGGGAUGGAAUUCCGCGUGUAGCAGUGAAAUGCGUAGAUAUGCGGAGGAACACCGAUGGCGAAGGCAAUCCCCUGGGCCUGUACUGACGCUCAUGCACGAAAGCGUGGGGAGCAAACAGG
rnacentral:rRNA from 1 species